GGGAUUGCCCCAGUAACGGCGAGUGAAGCGGCAACAGCUCAAAUUUGAAAUCUGGCCCCCCCCCCGGGGGGCCCGAGUUGUAAUUUGCAGAGGAUGCUUUGGGCGAGGCGCCUUCCGAGUUCCCUGGAACGGGACGCCACAGAGGGUGAGAGCCCCGUCUGGUCGGACGCCGAGCCUCUGUAAAGCUCCUUCGACGAGUCGAGUAGUUUGGGAAUGCUGCUCAAAAUGGGAGGUAUAUGUCUUCUAAAGCUAAAUACCGGCCAGAGACCGAUAGCGCACAAGUAGAGUGAUCGAAAGAUGAAAAGCACCUUGAAAAGGGGGUUAAACAGUACGUGAAAUUGUUGAAAGGGAAGCGCUCGUGACCAGCUUGGGGCGGGCGGAUCAGCCGGCGUUCUCGCCGGCGCACUCCGCCCGUCCCAGGCCAGCAUCAGUUCGCGCCGGGGGACAAAGGCGGCGGGAACGUGGCUCCCCAGGGAGUGUUAUAGCCCGCCGCGCCAUGCCCCGGGGGCGGACUGAGGGCCGCGCAUCACUGCAAGGAUGCUGGCGUAAUGGUCACCAGCGACCCGUCUUGAAACACGGGCCAAGGAGUCGUCCUCGUAUGCGAGUGUUCGGGUGUCAAACCCCUACGCGGAAUGAAAGUGAACGUGGGUGAGAGCUUCGGCGCAUCAUCGACCGAUCCUGAUGUUCUCGGAUGGAUUUGAGUAGGAGCAUACGGGGCCGGACCCGAAAGAAGGUGAACUAUGCCUGUGUAGGGUGAAGCCAGAGGAAACUCUGGUGGAGGCUCGCAGCGGUUCUGACGUGCAAAUCGAUCGUCAAACAUGGGCAUGGGGGCGAAAGACUAAUCGAA
rnacentral:rRNA from 1 species